UACGUAGGGAGUAAGCGUUGUCCGGAAUCAUUGGGCGUAAAGCGCGCGUAGGUGGCUUCGUAAGUCCGUUGUGAAAGUCAAAGGCUCAACCUUUGAAAGCCGAUGGAUACUGCGGAGCUAGAGUACGGAAGAGGCGAGUGGAAUUCCUGGUGUAGCGGUGGAAUGCGCAGAUAUCAGGAGGAACACCCAAUAGCGAAGGCAGCUCGCUGGGACGUUACUGACACUGAGACGCGAAAGCGUGGGGAGCGAACAGG
rnacentral:rRNA from 1 species